AUAUCUCACGCACUAUCCAUUACGUAUAUAUAUAUAUAUAUAUAUAUACGUAAUGGAUAGUGCGUGAGAUAUA
rnacentral:pre_miRNA from 1 species